GUGGUUUAGUGGUUAGAGCAUCCGCCUCGGAUGCGGGAGGUCGUGGGUUCGAUCCCCGGUCAAGUCA